rnacentral:tRNA from 1 species
GCCUUCGUGGUGUAAUGGCCAGCACACUCAACGCGUACUUGAGGGGUUCGAGGUUCGAGUCCCGGCGAGAGCA